CAGUCGCCGCGGUAAUACGUAGGUGGCAAGCGUUGUUCGGAAUUAUUGGGCGUAAAGGGCUCGCAGGCGGUUUCUUAAGUCUGAUGUGAAAGCCCCCGGCUCAACCGGGGAGGGUCAUUGGAAACUGGGAAACUUGAGUGCAGAAGAGGAGAGUGGAAUUCCACGUGUAGCGGUGAAAUGCGUAGAGAUGUGGAGGAACACCAGUGGCGAAGGCGACUCUCUGGUCUGUAACUGACGCUGAGGAGCGAAAGCGUGGGGAGCGAACAGGAUUAGAUACCCCCGUAGUCCCUGUCUCUUAUAC
rnacentral:rRNA from 1 species